CCUCCCCAUCCCCUCGCCUCCCGCCUCCACGCAAUGACCUGUUCCCGGCCCUCUCAGUUCCGCGCGGCCCCUUCGAGGUGGGGCCUGGGCACAGGAACGACAGGCGUUGCAGCCAAUGGCGUCCCGCACGGUAAACCUGCUACCCAAUCACAAGGCGCGGCUGCGAGGGAACGGAGUGGGAACCACGCCCGGCUCCAGGUGACUCCUUGGCAGGGAGGGAAGGGCGCCUCGGUUAGUGGAUAGGAUCCCCACUGGGUCCGUUCCUCGGGGCGAGGUCUCGCGGACCAAGCUGCCGAAGCGUGCGGCCAGUGACCUGCUGUGGAAUCCUUUAGUGCUGUAGUCGAGGAGAGUGAUGGAGGAGCGUCUAGAAGCUGGGAAGGACAGCAAGAGCUCAUGGACUUCAGAUCCCAUGUAUCUUCCUUCCGCGAGAACCUCACUGAGCUGGCCGAGCUGGAGCUCAAACAUGCCAAAGGCCAGCACCCUGCUUCUGCAGAGCACCCCAGUUAUCCUCAAGGGGGAGCCUUAGAGCUUCCAAAAGCCCCCAGAUCUCCUACUCCAGACAGGUGCCUUCCAGCCCUAGGAGCCACUUGCCAUGCCCCUUCUCAGGGCAACCCCCACCCCUGCCCCAAGGUGCCAGGCCCUGCCAGAGGGAGAGCGAGCAGCAUGGACACCACUCUUGGCCAGAGGUAAGCAGAGCCCCAACCUGGGGAAGCCCAGGGAACAUGACCUCCCCUCCGCAGAGGCAGACAGCCUCCACCCACG
rnacentral:lncRNA from 1 species